CUUGACGUAAAAGCUAGUUUUUUGUUAACUAGAAGCUUCGCAUACCGUGUGUGCACACGUGUACGCUAUGUGGCGUUUGACAGGCAUGUUGAUAAUACGCGUUUAAACACGAUUAGAUAGAUGAGCCUAUUCCUCGAUAGAGAUUUACGGAAUCCUAUACCUAGUUGCUGUAGUAGUACAGUAGGACCGUACUAGGCUAGGGUAUGCCUAGAUUAGCCCUGCUUUCAAGCUAGCUAGGCUAGCCUAGCACAUAUAAUUAAGGACGGGCCUAUCCUAUUACUACUAGGCCUAGGCUAUAUUAUUUAUAUUAUUUAUGGGCUGUGGAGGGUCCAGAGACCUAGGGAUCGUUAAUAAUAAUUAGGUAAUAUUAGUCAAUAAUACCUAGGCCUAGACUAUCUGGUACUAAGUAGGUUGUGUUAAUGAGUUGAUGUUAAUUGGUCUAGGCAGCCUAGGGCUAGUUAAUAUUUCAAUCCAUUAAUUAUAUUGACAAGUCGACAAAAAAAUGCACAAAUAAAUGUUUAAAUUGAUGUAAACUGUUUUGAGUUUAAUAAAACAAAUUAAGUACCCGCUGCUUACUUGGACUCGAAUUCAACCUUGGCCAUCAGGCGCAAGCUCGGUGGUCAAGAGGUAUGAUCGUGGGUUCCAGUCCCACCCGAGAACAACUUGCGAUUUUUUCUCAGUUGUUUUCAAAUGUACUGAGUAUUCGGUACAUUUCCACGUGAGGUAGGACAAUAUUACACCAAUACAAAACAAAUUAAGUUACUAUUUGUAUAUUUUUUUCAUACCGUAAUUACAACUCAUUUUAAUUCAUUUUAAUUGUUUCAGAUACAUGAAAAUAUAUGGCAUGUAGUAAACCAUCAUAUCACGGACGGCAAUCCACAUGGAAUCGGCUAGUAAGGGCAGAUAGAAAAAUGGUUAGAUUAUCACUCCCCCCGCAAAAACAACGCAGUUGAAAAGAUUGCUGAUUGUGAUCAAAAUGUCCAGCAUGCAUCAUUUUUCCUUGGAUAUCUGGUUCAGUCAGUGUCAAAUGGCUCUUCAUAAUUGAGAAUGUUUUUGCAAAGGCUGAUUUUACUUGUUGGGGGAAGCAUGGAUGAGUUCACCUCCUUGCUCAUUUAAGAGACCAAUCCCAACUUUCCACAUUCUCAGAAAGGGUACAACUUGGUUUUCCAACAUAUGGAGUUUUGGCGAUAUGUUGUGCUCAUUCUUGCGCUAUGUUCCUCACUGCAUUGCACACUGCCAUGGAUUUAGUAACGUUUUUGUUAAUAAAUACCAGCGGUAUUUCAUCUUCGAGGUUUGAUAUUUCAUAAAGCUUCUUAAAUACACCCAGUGAGAUGUGUAGGCUUGGAACUGACACCUAUGAAAAGGAAGAUAAAGAUAGAAUUGAAAAGGCUAAAGAAAUUCAAGGCAUCGAGAAACAGAAGUGCUGCAAGAUAGAGGAAAAGUGUAAGGACAUCCAGGAGAAUGUGUGAUAUGUACUCAUCAGCUAUUUCGAAUUGCCUACUCCGCAUCCUUCGCUCUGAAGCUAUUGUUCCUGGUUGUAGAUACCUUUAAUAACAUGAAUUAAAUUUGUAACUUUUGGUUUUGAAACCAAAUUCUAGUAAUAUGUUAUUAUUAACUAAUAGCAUUUUUACCUUCUUAAUUUGCGGAGUUGCUGCCAAACAAGCUCACAGUCAGCCUUGAUAGCCAGUGAACUGUCAAUAUCAACUAGGGAUGGAGUUGCAAAUGCAGAGAUUUCGUGUGCUAAUUGAUUGUUGCUAUCCCUAUGUGAUAUCACCUCGCGUAAAGAUGACAUUUCCUGUGUAGGUCGUUAAAGACUCCUUUUGCACACAUUGCUGCUGUAUUUUGCUGCUUUUGUGAUUACAGCAAUCUUCACUGGCUAAAAUAUUGUAAUCACACAAUUUAAAUACAGUGAUAAAGUGCUACUACAGUACAAAUGCAAUUAAUAAAACAUUUUCUAAUACUGUUAUUAUGUUAAAGAAUGUUAAAUUAAAUUUGUUUAGUAUAAAAUAAUUAAACCCUUACCCUUCCUCUAGUUUGGAUUUCAACCUCCUUGCACUCCUUAAGAGAUCGAUACACCACUUUAUUAGACAACUGUUGAACUUCAACAAUUGUGGUGACUGCACUGGAUAUUCUUCUGUAUUGUUGUUCAGCUGGUGUAGAGCACUUAUGUUGAUAGUAGUCAUCAUAUUUUAGGAUUUCACCGCAUGAUUUGCAUAACAGUUGCCCAGAUUUCAAUGAGUUCUGAACAAUCAUGAAUGGUGUUUCACAUCAGAUACAUUCACAGGACACAUGCAGACAAAACAAGUGCAUUGACGGACUCGAAGUGUGCCAAACAGUUUUGAUAGACAGUACAAACAAAAAUGAUGCGAACACUUAGUUUCUAAAUUUUCAACUGACAUAAUACGCAGACAAAUGGCACAUUCAAAUUGUGAUAACAAUGAUUGAUCUUUGACUGUAAAUUUUUGAUUCAAUGCAUUGUGCUCUAAAUGCUUAGAACAAAUGCUGGGUUUG